GAUGAAGAACGUAGCGAAAUGCGAUAAGUAAUGUGAAUUGCAGAAUUCAGUGAAUCAUCGAAUCUUUGAACGCACAUUGCGCCCGCUAGUAUUCUGGCGGGCAUGCCUGUUCGAGCGUCAUUUCAACCCUCAAGCACUGCUUGGUGUUGGGGACCGGCUUGCCUUCAGCGCCUGCCGCCCCCGAAAUACAGUGGCGGUCUCGCCGCAGCCUCCUCUGCGUAGUAGUUUACAACCUCGCAUACGGAGCGCGGCGCGGCCACGCCGUAAAACCCCCUACUUUCAAAGGUUGACCUCGAAUCAGGUAGGAAUACCCGCUGAACUUAAGCAUAUCAAUAAGCGGAGGA
rnacentral:misc_RNA from 1 species